AUCAACCCCUACCUAUUCCUCUCAUUCAUAAGCCAAUGAAACAAGCCAUUCAUUUCAUUCCCCUCUUAGUGGGACAAGGGAUAGCAGCUGAAGUUGGAACAGGAACUGCCGGCCUAACCACCUCCAUCCGAAACUACCAGCACUAUCUAAAGACCUAUUAGACAGCCUCCAGGAAAUAGCCCAAGGUCUAAUGACUAUCCAAAAUCAACCUGAUUCCUUGGGAGCCAGUGUUACAAAAUAGAAGGGGAUUAGAUCUACAAACUGCAGAAAAAGGAGGGAUUCCUCCAGGAACGAAUCUGAGCCAUUUCUCGAGAUCAAGUCAAGACUGUCCUUCUGCUUGAGACCCUGGCAGCUAGGAUAGAAAAUCAACACUAUUGGGCCUUAGACUUCCUUCCUGCCUCCCAGACCACAAACCCCCGACCCUCGUUUACCAGCAUGAAGAAGCCCUGAACAUUGACAACGCCCAUCUCUCUUUCUCUUUUUAUAUGUUCCUUAGGGUCUGGAAUGAAGGAAAACUACAUGGCUCAAAAUAGCCUGGAGUUAAAACUCCCCUCCAGAUCUUCCCCACCAUUCUAUAAAGAAUAAAGAACUUUUUUCCCCG